rnacentral:lncRNA from 1 species
ACCUAAUAGCUGUUCAGGCACCUUGGCUUUUUAAUAUGAUUAAAUAAUAAAGUAAGUCUGUAGAAGACUAUGAUGGGCUUUUUUCAGAAGGGUAUUAGUCAAAAAUCGAAAAGGGCAGUAAGUAGUAGCAAAUACUUUAAUCCCAGCACUUAAAAGACAGAAGCAGGUGGGCCAGAGUUUGAUACCCACCUGGUCUACAGAGCAAGUUACAGGAUAGGACAGGACAGGCUAUAGAGAAAAACCCUGUCUUGCAGGGAUAGAGGGCAGGGGAAUGUGAUGGGGCUAGUGCAGUGUGUACAGGCACUUGCUGCCACACUGGACGACUUAAAUUUGGUCUCUAGAACUAAUGAAAGAAGUGAGCCAACUCCUGAAAGUCGUUCUUUGACCUCACAUGUAGGAAUGAAUGUACACACAUGACAGACUAUUUUAAAUUGAAAAAAUGUUAAAAUUGACACCAGAUGUGGUGGUGCAUACCUUUGAUCACAGGCCUUGAGAAAUAAAGGCAGACCGAUCUCUUGAGUUCAAGGAUAGCCUGGUCUACAUAGUAAGUUCCAGACCACGUAGAGCUACAUAAAGAGAUCUUGUCUCAAAACAAAAAAAAACAGAAAAUGUAAGAAUGUUGUGGUAUUCAUUAUCAGUAAUGAACUGAAGCAUUUCUCUUGCUUCUGUCCUCUUUGCUUUCACCUCAGAGGAGAGGGCUAAUUUUGUGAAUUCAGGUCAUACUCUCUAAAACAAUCACUGUACCCACAUUAGGAAGUGCUGCUGGGAGCAGAGCAAUGGCUCAGCAGUUAAGAGCACUGCUCCAGAGGCCUGGCGUUGAACUCCACUACCCACAUAGCAGCUAACAGCCAUCUUAACUCCAGUUCCAGAUCUGAUGCCCUCUUCUGGCUUCUUUGAGCCCUGCACACAUGAUAC